UGUGUAGGCGGCAUUGUAAGUAAGGUGUGAAAUCCUACGGCUUAACCGUAGAAUUGCAUCUUAUACUGCAGUGCUUGAGUGCUGGAGAGGAUAGCGGAAUUCUAGGUGUAGCGGUGAAAUGCAUAGAUAUCUAGGAGAACGCCGGUGACGAAGGUGGCUAUCUGGCCGGCAACUGACGCUGAAACACGAAAGCUAGGGGAGCGAACAGGAUUAGAUACCCUGGUAGUCC
rnacentral:rRNA from 1 species